rnacentral:rRNA from 1 species
UACGUAGGGGGCAAGCGUUGUCCGGAUUUACUGGGCGUAAAGCGCACGUAGGCGGAUUGUUAAGUCAGGGGUGAAAUCCUGGAGCUCAACUCCAGAACUGCCUUUGAUACUGGCGAUCUCGAGUCCGGGAGAGGUGAGUGGAACUGCGAGUGUAGAGGUGAAAUUCGUAGAUAUUCGCAAGAACACCAGUGGCGAAGGCGGCUCACUGGCCCGGUACUGACGCUGAGGUGCGAAAGCGUGGGGAGCAAACAGG